rnacentral:rRNA from 1 species
AGUGAAUGCUGGCGGUAGGCCUAACACAUGCAAGUCGAACGGCAGCACAGUAAGAGCUUGCUCUUACGGGUGGCGAGUGGCGGACGGGUGAGGAAUACAUCGGGAUCUACUUUUUCGUGGGGGAUAACGUAGGGAAACUUACGCUAAUACCGCAUACGACCUACGGGUGAAAGCAGGGGAACUUCGGACCUUGCGCGAUUGAAUGAGCCGAUGUCGGAUUAGCUAGUUGGCGGGGUAAAGGCCCACCAAGGCGACGAUCCGUAGCUGGUCUGAGAGGAUGAUCAGCCACACUGGAACUGAGACACGGUCCAGACUCCUACGGGAGGCAGCAGUGGGGAAUAUUGGACAAUGGGCGCAAGCCUGAUCCAGCCAUACCGCGUGGGUGAAGAAGGCCUUCGGGUUGUAAAGCCCUUUUGUUGGGAAAGAAAAGCAGCAGGUUAAUACCCCGCUGUUCUGACGGUACCCAAAGAAUAAGCACCGGCUAACUUCGUG